AACGAACGCUGGCGGCAUGCCUAACACAUGCAAGUCGAACGAAGCCUUCGGGCUUAGUGGCGCACGGGUGCGUAACGCGUGGGAAUCUGCCCCUUGCUUCGGAAUAACAGUUAGAAAUGGCUGCUAAUACCGGAUGAAGUCUUCGGACCAAAGAUUUAUCGGCAAGGGAUGAGCCCGCGUAGGAUUAGGUAGUUGGUAGGGUAAAGGCCUACCAAGCCGACGAUCCUUAGCUGGUCUGAGAGGAUGAUCAGCCACACUGGGACUGAGACACGGCCCAGACUCCUACGGGAGGCAGCAGUGGGGAAUAUUGGACAAUGGACGAAAGUCUGAUCCAGCAAUGCCGCGUGAGUGAUGAAGGCCUUAGGGUUGUAAAGCUCUUUUACCAGGGAUGAUAAUGACAGUACCUGGAGAAUAAGCUCCGGCUAACUCCGUG
rnacentral:rRNA from 1 species